rnacentral:rRNA from 1 species
ACAUGCAAGUCGAACGCCCUAGCAAUAGGUAGUGGCGCACGGGUGAGUAACAUGUGGGAAUAUGCCUUUUGGUACGGAACAACGUUUGGAAACGAACGCUAAUACCUUAUGGUCCCUCCGGGGUAAAGAUUUAUCGCCAAAAGAUUAGCCCGCACUAGAUUAGCUAGUUGGUAAGGUAAUGGCUUACCAAGGCGACGAUCUAUAGCUGUUCUGAGAGGAAGAUCAGCCACACUGGGACUGAGACACGGCCCAGACUCCUACGGGAGGCAGCAGUUAGGAAUAUUGGACAAUGGGCGCAAGCCUGAUCCAGCCAUGCCGCGUGAGUGAUGAAGGCCUUCGGGUUGUAAAGCUCUUUAGCCGACGAAUAUAAUGACUGUAGUCGGAGAAUAAGCCCCGGCUAACUUCGUGCCAGCAGCCGCGGUAAUACGAAGGGGGCGAGCGUUAUUCGGAAUCACUGGGCGUAAAGCGUGCGUAGGCUGUUUUGUAAGUCAGAAGUGAAAGCCCAGGGCUUAACCCUGGAAUUGCUUUUGAAACUACAAGACUCGAAUUCGGGAGAGGAUAGCGGAAUUGUCAGUGUAGCAGUGAAAUGCGUAGAUAUUGACAGGAACACCAGUGGCGCAAGCGGCUAUCUGGACCGACAUUGACGCUGAGGCACGAAAGCGUGGGGAGCAAACAGGAUUAGAUACCCUGGUAGUCCACGCCGUAAACGAUGUGAGUUUGUCGCUGGGAAGCUUAGCUUUUCGGUGACGUAGUUAACGCGU